UACGUAGGGGGCAAGCGUUGUCCGGAUUUAUUGGGCGUAAAGAGCGUGUAGGCGGCCAGGUAGGUCUGCUGUGAAAACUCGUAGGCUCAACCUCGAGACGUCGGCGGAAACCAUCUGGCUAGAGUCCGGAAGAGGAGAGUGGAAUUCCGUGGUGUAGCGGUGAAAUGCGCAGAUAUCAGGAAGAACACCCGUGGCGAAGGCGGCUCUCUGGGACGGUACUGACGCUGAGACGCGAAAGCGUGGGGAGCGAACAGG
rnacentral:rRNA from 1 species